UUUUGCCUGUCCUGCAGCCUGAAGAGGUAUUUGGGAGCAGAGCUGCGAGUGCUUUGUACAUACUGCUAGAGUGUCCCUAGGGGUUUGCAUAGUAUUUAUUGUUCAUAUACACAAGGCUGAUUGAUUGCUGUACAGUUUACACCUCCAACACAAGCAACGAGCUCAGUGCUCAGCCCAGAGCCCUGCCCUGGCCGGAGCCGUUGCCUGCGCUGGGGAGCGGAUGGGCAGCCCUGCACCGGCCCCUCUGCCCAGGGCAGUUGUGCUCCCUGCACCCCUCUGCUCCCCCCAAACCCAGCACUCACGGAGCGGGAUGAGAAGCGAGUCCAGCAGAGGCAGCACUGGCGAUGCGGGGUGUGUGUGUCAGCUCCGCGCUGCCCCAGCCUCCCUCUUGCAGCUGGAGCACGGGCACAGGGAUGCCUUCGCCCACCUCUCUGCUGCUGGCUCUUGCCUCCCGCGGGAGCUGAGAGGAUGCCCCGGGUGCGUGCUGCUGCCCCUGGGCUCUGGCAGCAGUGGGGCAGGGAUGGAGCCCCCCCCCGCCGGUUGUAAGUACUGUAGCUCAUGCGUCUUGCAGUCAGUCAGUCAUGCGGAUAGGACGGUAAGUAUGUCU